AUACGGAGGGUCCGAGCGUUAUCCGGAAUCAUUGGGUUUAAAGGGUCCGUAGGCGGGAAUCUAAGUCAGUGGUGAAAUCUUGCAGCUCAACUGUAAAAUUGCCAUUGAUACUGGAUUUCUUGAAUUAGUGUGAAGUGGUUAGAAUGUGUAGUGUAGCGGUGAAAUGCAUAGAUAUUACACAGAAUACCAAUUGCGAAGGCAGAUCACUAACACUAUAUUGACGCUAAGGGACGAAAGCGUGGGGAGCGAACAGGAUUAGAUACCCUAGUAGUCC
rnacentral:rRNA from 1 species